GUCUAUAAAAUAGGUGCCCUUCUACUUGCCGCUAAAUCCCGCGCUGAUGGCGAAUCUGGCGGCCCAGCUCGCUGGCGUGCUCCAAGCAUGCAUCAAGCGGAACCCAAAGCCCAGCCGCACCCACGCCAAGGCCGCCCACGCGCGCGUCCUUGCCGGUGGCCUCGCCGCCGACACCUUCCUCCUCAACCGCCUGGUCGAGCUCUACUCGCUCUCCGGCCUCCCGCGCGACGCCCUCCGCGUCUUCCGCACCCUGCCCCACCCCAACGCCUACUCCUACAAUGCGGCGCUCUCGGCGGCCAGCCGCGCGGGCGACCUCGACGCGGCCCGGACGCUGCUCGACGAAAUGCCCGAGCCGAACGUCGUCUCCUGGAACACCGUCAUCUCCGCGCUCGCGCGGUCCGAGCGCGCGGGCGAGGCGCUGGGGCUGUACGAAGGGAUGCUCCGGGAGGGCCUCAUCCCGACGCACUUCACGCUCGCCAGCGUGCUCAGCGCUUGCGGCUCCAUGGCCGCGCUCGUGGACGGGAGGCGCUGCCACGGGCUCGUGGUCAAGGUCGGGCUUGAAGAGAACCUGUUCGUGGAGAACGCGCUCGUUGGCAUGUAUACCAAGUGCGGCAGCGUCGGGGAUGCUGUGCGGCUGUUCGACCGGAUGGCUCGCCCGAACGAGGUGUCGUUCACGGCGAUGAUGGGAGGGCUCGCGCAGACCGGGUCCGUCGACGAUGCGCUCAGGCUGUUCGCCAGGAUGUGCAGGAGCGGGGUACAUGUUGAUCCCGUGGCCGUGUCAAGUGUUCUGGGCUCGUGCGCACAAGCUGGCGCCAGCGAGUUCAACGUUCUUCGCUCGUUCCAGCUUGGGCAGUGCAUUCACGCCUUGAUCAUCAGAAAAGGCUUUGGGGCAGACCAGCAUGUGGGGAACUCCUUGAUCGAUAUGUACACCAAGUGCAUGCAAAUGGACGAUGCUGUCAAGGUGUUCGACUCAUUGCCCAGCGUCAGUAUUGUUUCUUGGAACAUCCUUAUAACUGGAUUCGGCCAGGCGGGCAGCUAUGAGAAGGCUUUGGAAGUAUUGAACGUGAUGGUAGAGUCGGGCUCUGAGCCCAAUGAGGUCACUUACAGUAACAUGCUUGCGUCCUGUAUUAAGGCGAGGGAUGUUCCAUCUGCUCGUGCAAUGUUCGACAAUAUAUCAAGGCCGACUUUGACUACGUGGAACACGCUUUUGUCUGGUUACUGCCAGGAGGAACUGCAUCAAGAAACAAUCGAGCUGUUUAGGAAAAUGCAGCAUCAAAAUGUGCAGCCUGACCGAACAACUCUGGCCGUGAUCCUCAGUUCAUGCUCAAGAUUGGGGAAUUUGGACCUUGGAGCACAAGUUCAUUCUGCUUCAGUAAGACUCCUGUUGCAUAACGACAUGUUUGUCGCUAGUGGUUUGGUCGAUAUGUAUGCAAAAUGUGGACAGAUUAGUAUUGCCAGGAGCAUUUUCAACAGGAUGACAGAGAGAGAUGUGGUGUGUUGGAAUUCCAUGAUCUCAUGUUUGGCUAUCCAUUCUUUCAACAAAGAGGCCUUUGAUUUCUUCAAGCAGAUGCGACAAAAUGGAAUGAUGCCCACAUCCUCCUCCUAUGCUACCAUGAUUAAUUCAUGUGCAAGACUUUCUUCCGUACCUCAAGGUAGGCAGAUACAUGCACAAGUUGCGAAAGAUGGUUAUGAUCAGAAUGUCUAUGUGGGUAGUGCCCUGAUUGAUAUGUAUGCUAAAUGUGGCAACAUGGACGAUGCACGCCUUUCCUUCGACAGCAUGGUGACUAAGAAUAUAGUUGCAUGGAAUGAGAUGAUACAUGGAUAUGCUCAGAAUGGUUUCGGAGAAAAAGCCGUUGAACUAUUUGAGUAUAUGUUAACUACAGAACAGCGGCCAGAUAGUGUCACUUUCAUUGCCGUCCUAACAGGAUGUAGUCACUCCGGGCUCGUAGAUGAAGCCAUUGCAUUCUUUAAUUCCAUGGAGAGUACUUACAGAAUUACACCACUGGCUGAGCAUUACACUUGUCUCAUAGAUGGAUUGGGGCGAGCGGGUCGGCUUGUUGAAGUGGAGGCACUAAUAGAACAGAUGCCAUGCAAAGAUGAUCCUAUAGUGUGGGAAGUUCUACUUGCUGCCUGUGCUGUACAUCACAAUGCUGAAUUGGGGGAAUGUGCCGCGCAGCACCUGUUCCACCUUGAUCCAAAGAACCCAUCACCCUAUGUUCUCUUGUCAAACAUAUAUGCUUCCUUAGGCCGACAUGGGGAUGCAUCAGGCAUUAGGGCAUUGAUGAUUAGCCGUGGAGUUGUCAAAGGUCGUGGAUACAGCUGGAUAGAUCACAAGGAUGAUGUUCGUGCCUUUAUGGUUGCUGAUGAUCUUCAGACGGUCAGUGGAGAAUCUAAAAUGUUCAGCAAUCAAGAGAGUGCUGCUGGGGUUACAGAAGUACACCAGAAAGAGACAUGUGCUGGUUGAUUUGGGCUUUUUGUUAUCAGACGCACUGGUGAAUCUGUUUCAGUGAUAGCUGAAUUCAGUAGCCACUUUUGUGCAAUUUGCUUGAGAGCCUCAAGCUUUACUGUUGUAUGUAGCUUCAUGUGUCUGGAAGAUGGGAAACACAGCCUGAAGGUUCAGUAGAAAGAAUAUGCAAGACAGGAAUGGGUUGCGUUGCAGAUUAGGUGCUAAUGAAAUUAUAUGCUCGGUUCAUGUCACUACGUGGUGCAGAGCUUCAUCGAUGAGCAUGUACUACGAUGAGUUGUGCAUGUGAGAGCGCAAAAGCAAUUGUUGCCCGGUUAUACGAGGGAUGCAAUAACUGCAUUCAUAGCUUCACAAUGGUUGAUUUAAAAGCCAGUGGAUAUAACUUUUGGAUAAUCAUUAUCUGGCUUCGCUUCCCAUUCUGUCCAAGAUCCGCCGUAAACUGGAACGUCAUGCUUCCCAAUUCUAUAGUCCCUGUAAAGAAAUAUUGUUAGACACUGCUUGGCAGAGUCAAUGUCUCAGUGAUAAUAUCCAAGAAGAACAUGCCAGAUUUCCAGACCAGAGCAAAGUAUGCAGGCAGUUACACCAGAUCUGCAUGUGAUGUGAUGACUAUCGGUUGAUCAAAGUGAAGUCCCUGAAGAGACAUCAAACCGGGUGCUAUUAUUACUAUUGCUUGGUGAAACUUUUGUACUUCAUGUACACAUCUGAUAGGCCCAAGAAAUGAUUGCUUCUUAGGAGAUGCAACAAUACAGAGGGGGGAAAGGAUCUUCUAGGUAUAUGACUUUGGUAUGCUGCAAUGUGGAACUCUGUAGCAAAAUCCUCAUUGGCGGGAUGAUAACGAGGCUGAUGCACCACUAGGUGGGAAAAGAACCGGCGAUGGUCUUUGGUGUGUGUGUUGUGUUCCAUGACGAAGACCGCUGUUGUUCCUUCCGCGACAGUGUUCGAGUCUGAAGAUGGUUAACUCGGAUUUGUUGUUCCUCUCUAUACCAUCUAUUUUGUUUGCCUGUAGAUUAUCAUAUUCACAAGUGUGGCUGGUUCCUUGUGUAAUACUUGUGUUUGUUGUCUACAUCUUUCUGAAUUAAGACUUGUCUGGAAAUCUGAGAACUGAAGGUUACCAGAGGCUGUAGUUACGGUGCAAGGUGGGCCAGCGAAUUUUAGUACUCCCUCCGAUCCAUUGAAUUGUACUAAAGCAGUGACAAUUAAUAUGGAUCAGAGGGAGUAUGGGAAAUUUUGUGUGAACUGGGGUUUCAAGAAGUUGCAUGAAUCGUCUUUGGAACGUCUUGGUUAGCAAUCUCCCACGCCGUGCUUUUGUCAAACACGAUAAUACGAGAUGCAAGAGAGGAAAUGUACAAGGUUUCUCCAAAGUAAGAGUAAUAUUGCACUUGUGUUAUGGUUCGUUUGAGAACCGUAAAUAAAGCCAGGGUUGCAACAUCUUUGAAACAAGUUUAGCCAGCAAGUCAUCUAUACUGUAUAUUUGAUCCAUGCUUUACUUAGAAAAGUUUUUUUGUCAUCUCAACUCACCAUACAGAAUUGUUUAAACGAACCUCUCUUUGCUUUUCAGAUAUCAACAUCCAGAUGCAUAGCCAUGUCAGUGCACCUUCAGUCGAUGUCGAUGCUCAGCAGAGGAUUAAUACCACAAUGGGGCGAGUGGAGGCAGCGACGGACAGUUGUUCUUUUCAUUCAGAAGAUGGAAUAUGAGUUGAUUGAGUUCCAUUAACUGUGACUCCAACCAAAUCACCUGUGGUCUGCUAUGCUGUCGCAAGAUCUGGCACAGACUUGCAAUGAAGCCUGCUGUCAUAUGCAAUGCCCAUCUUAGGUGUCUUGGUUAAAAACUUUCUAUUGCCAUGUGCCUGCAAGACAUGCCCUUCUCAGCGCAUUGCAAGAACACGAACCACUCAAGCGAAACACUGAAAUAUAAGAAUGUAAAACGACAUCAAGUAACCAUGCAAAGGAAGCUGAUAUCAGAAAGUACUUCCACGAAACAACGCAGUUUCAUACUCUGUAUAUGUUUUUAACACCUCAAUGGCAGCAAUGACCGCGGAUAAAAUCAUGAUGCU